AGUGCAUGAAAUCCUGAAGCAAAUGUUUAUUGCAAACUUCAGGGCACGAGGAAGGUGGGAGGAAAAAAAAAAUCAGCUCGUAAAGCCUGCUGGCUCAGGAAUAGGGAAAGAAAUACAGAAAGAAUGAAUGUAGUUACUUUUCUUUUUUAGGUCUCAGCUGAAAUUAACCAUGAGAUAUUUAACACUGAAGUGCAGGAGAGAUCUGAAAAACUAGGAGAACAACUGCUUGAAAAUUGGAAAUCCUCAGAGAAAGGAGCUGGUUUUACAGAAGCAGAGAGUGGCCCUAGGAGUUUGAGGGGCUGCUAGGACAGACUGCCGGCCUGCCUGCUGUAAGCCCUGCACCAGAGGCAGAGUCUGCUCCCUGGAGUAAAGGGGUUUCAGAUUGGUGCCACCAAGGUGAGCAUCUGCCUUUGUUGAUGAGGAGAGCUGCAUACAAGGGAACCUGUCUGUACCUGACAGCAAUCACCUGUCCUGCUACCUCUUAAUGCAGCACGCUGUGGGAAGCCAUUUACUGAUGCUGUUAUACCCUUGUUUUUACCAGGAUGGGAAACCAGAGAAAUAGGAAAAAUGAGGAAGAAAGCCAUAGUGGUUACUAGAAUUGUGGAGCUGCCCACUUUUAACGUACAGCUCACAAGUUCGGGGUCUGCCUUGAAAUCCCAGCUAGAGUGGAGUCUCCAGUCAUCCCAGGGAAGGAUUCAGAGGAGGGAAAUGGGGAGUUGCCGUUUGGUGGGCAGUACUGAAGCACCCACCUGCAGUACAAAGGGACAGUCCUGAUCCAAAAAACCUGCAGCCUUAAGUCGGUGCUGGCACCCUUGUGAUGGACUUUCUCCCUGGUAACACACUCAUGCAGGUUAGGAUAGCCCAAGAGAAUCAGAGCUGUUGUCUCUUCUGUGCCAUGAGAGGGAUGCUGAGGAAUGCCAAGGCAUUACAACAAGUGUGUCCUCACUUACACAUACCACCUCGAUGGCCUUCCUAGGAUUGAGUUCCCCUGAGUUUCUCCAGAGUCCUUUUGGAGAUGGCUGGAGGAACAUGUGGUGCAUGCUAGCAGUCCUUGGUGCCGGGCCAGGACCUACUGUCCCUCCUCUUGGCCUUUUCUUCAUGCUUUUUUACAAACCGAUGGAAGGCUUGUAAAAACAGUGUCCUGGGACUUUCAUGUUAAACGCAGUCACACCUCUGCUUCUUCCAGUAACUUUGCUCCAGCUGACCUCCACUCAGGCCACAGGAAGUGCUGCAGAAAGCUCCCUGGCUUUGCUGAAAGAAAAGGCAAAAUGGGCUGGCAAGGGGCCAAG